rnacentral:rRNA from 1 species
GACGAACGCUGGCGGCGUGCCUAAUACAUGCAAGUAGAACGCACAGUUUAUACCGUAGCUUGCUACACCAUAAACUGUGAGUUGCGAACGGGUGAGUAACGCGUAGGUAACCUGCCUGGUAGCGGGGGAUAACUAUUGGAAACGAUAGCUAAUACCGCAUAAUAUUGAUUAUUGCAUGAUAAUUGAUUGAAAGAUGCUAUUGCAUCACUACCAGAUGGACCUGCGUUGUAUUAGCUAGUAGGUGAGGUAACGGCUCACCUAGGCGACGAUACAUAGCCGACCUGAGAGGGUGAUCGGCCACACUGGGACUGAGACACGGCCCAGACUCCUACGGGAGGCAGCAGGAGGGAAUCUUCGGCAAUGGACGAAAGUCUGACCGAGCAACGCCGCGUGAGUGAAGAAGGGUUUCGGAUCGUAAAGCUCUGUUGUAAGAGAAGAACGGGUGUGAGAGUGGAAAGUUCACACUGUGACGGUAUCUUACCAGAAAGGGACGGCUAACUACGUG